rnacentral:rRNA from 1 species
UACGUAGGGGGCUAGCGUUGUCCGGAAUCAUUGGGCGUAAAGCGCGUGUAGGCGGCCCGGUAAGUCCGCUGUGAAAGUCGGGGGCUCAACCCUCGAAAGCCGGUGGAUACUGUCGGACUAGAGUGCGGAAGAGGCGAGUGGAAUUCCUGGUGUAGCGGUGAAAUGCGCAGAUAUCAGGAGGAACACCAAUUGCGAAGGCAGCUCGCUGGGACGUUACUGACGCUGAGGAGCGAAAGCGUGGGUAGCAAACAGG